GUCUAUUUGAUGAUAUAAAUAGUCUGGCCUGCUCACUGAUAAUUUUAUUUAAGAGCCGCGGUAUUUUGACCGUGCAAAGGUAGCAUAAUCAUUAGGGGCUUAAUUGGAACCUGGAAUGAAGGGUCGGACAAAGAAAAAGCUGUCUUUAUAGUAAAAAUUGAAGUUUACCUUUAAGUGAAAAGGCUUAAAUAUAUCAAAGGGACGAUAAGACCCUAUAAAGCUUUAUAAAUUAUUUAAGUUUGGUUAAUUUAAAUUAUAAAAACUAAUUUUAGUUGUUUUAUUUUAUUGGGGUGAUAUGAGCAUAAUUAUUGUAACUGCUUAAAUUGAAUACAAAAAUAAAUGAUUAAUAAAUACAUGAUCCUUUUUAAAGAUUAUAAGAUUAAGUUACUUUAGGGAUAACAGCGUUAUUUCUUUUGAGAGUUCAUAUCGAAAAAGAAGAUUGCGACCUCGAUGUUGAAUUAAAAUAUCUAUAUGAUGCAGCCAUUAUAAGAGAAGGUCUGUUCGACCUUUAAAUUUUU
rnacentral:rRNA from 1 species